UCCAAUCACUACUGUAAGUCGCUCUGGAUAAGAGCGUCUGCUAAAUUACCAAAA
rfam:Salmo salar isolate Sally breed double haploid chromosome ssa18, whole genome shotgun sequence.